rnacentral:tRNA from 1 species
GCCUGGCUGGCUCAGUUGGUUGAGCGUGCAACUCUUAAAUCCAGGGUUAUAAGUUCGAGCCCCAUGCUGGGUG